AGAGUUUGAUCAUGGCUCAGGAUGAACGCUAGCUACAGGCUUAACACAUGCAAGUCGAGGGGCAGCAUGUUGGUUGCUUGCAACCAACGAUGGCGACCGGCGCACGGGUGAGUAACGCGUAUCCAACCUACCCUUGUCCAUCGGAUAACCCGUCGAAAGGCGGCCUAACACGAUAUGCGGUUCACAGCAGGCAUCUAACGUGAACGAAAUGUGAAGGAGAAGGAUGGGGAUGCGUCUGAUUAGCUUGUUGGCGGGGUAACGGCCGACCAAGGCUACGAUCAGUAGGGGUUCUGAGACGGAAGGUCCCCCACAUUGGAACUGAGACCACGGUCCAAACGUCCGUGCGGGAGGCA
rnacentral:rRNA from 1 species